UACGGUGUUUGCGCCAUUCGUGGACCGGGGGGUCCGACCGGAACUCGAGCGCGCUUCCGCCAUGGCGAAGAGGAAGAAGGAGAGCGAAGACGAGGAGGCCCGUCCGGUCGACCCGGAGACGGAGGAGAAGCGGCGGCUGAGAUCCCUAGCUUUCUCGAGGAAGCUCCUCCGCCGCGCCCCCUCGCUGCCCUCCGCGCCCCUCGAGCCCUCCAAGGCCGUCGUCCGCCUCCAGGGCCGCGACCUCGUCAAACGUGGCCAGAGGAAGAGCCGCUACCUCUUCUCCUUCCCUGGUCUCCUCGCCCCCCUCUCUGCGGGGCGGAUCGGCGAGCUCGCCGACCUCGGCACCAAGAACCCCGUCCUAUACCUCGAGUUCCCCGAGGGAAGAAUGAAGCUAUUUGGUACGCACGUGUACCCUAAGAACAAGUACUUGACGCUGCAACUCACGAAAUCGUUCAAGGGUGUUACGUGCGAAGAUAUCUUUGAGAGCAUGCAGAUUGUGUUUGCUGAUGCAUGGUGGAUUGGACAAAAGGAGGAGAAUCCACAAGAACUCCAACUUGAGUUUCCUAAGUAUCUAAGUGAGCAGGGAAAAGAUGCAAUAGACUAUGACUUCAAAGGAGGUGCUGGUGCCACAGUUGGGGAACAAUCAGCUGGAAAUAAACCUGUUAACAAGAGAGAACCACUUUCUCCUGAAACUGAAUUUGAGGAUAGCUUGCCUGAUGAUUCUGGCAAUAAAGUGGAACCAGGAACGAUUAACAUGGCAACACCUGUUCGCCAGUCGGCGAGAACUGCAGGGAAAAAGCUAAGUUAUGCAGAAUCUUCUGGAGAUGAUUCUAAUUCUAGCUGUGAUGCUGAGCAACCUGCCACCUCCCCUGGGGUCACUUCACUUGAGCUAAUUCAUAAGGGUGAUGAGAAGAUUGUGGAUUCCUGUCCAGUACCUUCUAGUGUAGUUGCUUCAACAAGUGAGCUUGUUGACAGAAAAACCUGUUCAAGGGAGAAACUGAAGCAAACUUCAUCAUCUGAACGGUCCAAAGGGAAUCUUUCCAAUGGAAAAGGCACGCUGGUUCAGGCUAAUUUAUCUACGUUGUUUGAGAAAGUAGUGGAUAAGAAAUCUAAGCGUGGCGUGAAUACUUCUCCUGGAACAAAAGGUCCUGCUAGUAAGAGAAAAAGGGCAGCCUCAAGGAAAUCAUCUGAACAAGUGGAAGUGAACGGGUCUAACAAAGAAGAGCCCAAAUCUAGCAGGAAAAAGGGUGGGAAACAGCAUGUGACAUUGCAGCCAUCUGAGGUGUCAGACGAGACAGAUGAAACUUCUAGUGAACCUCAGUCAUCGAUACCUCACAUCCAUUAUCAAGAUUGAAUGCUCUAAAAGGAACGAUGGGAAUCGAUUAAUAUUUUGCAAUUCAUGCCUUAAGAAGAUUUGGAGCGUCACUACUUCCAAAGAUAAUGGAUGAUAGCGAUGAAGAUUGGGCUAUGUAAAACCAUGAGUUGGAGAACAGAUGGCUAUUUGCAGAGCCCUCCUUAGCAACUAUAUCUAGCAGCGAUAUGCCUAGACGAACAGUUCAGUGAGAACAAAUGCAUUUAUUCAUUGGCACCGGGUGAUUGUGCUGCGCUUCCAGAGCUAAUUGAUGGAUGCGUCAGUGGAGUUUGGUGGUGGCUCUGCAUGUCUGUAUUUGCACAAUGUAUGACUCCCCAGACCAUAGGCCAUUUUGUUGGCCGCUCCUCAUACUUACUGGAAUGUGUUUCUAUGAUCACAAAUAUACUAAUAUGAUUCAUCGAGAUCUUUUCCGAUUA